rnacentral:rRNA from 1 species
UACGUAGGGGGCAAGCGUUGUCCGGAAUUAUUGGGCGUAAAGCGCGUGUAGGCGGCUCGGUAAGUCUGCUGUGAAAGUCCAAGGCUCAACCUUGGAAUGCCGGUGGAUACUGUCGAGCUCGAGUCCGGAAGAGGCGAGUGGAAUUCCUGGUGUAGCGGUGAAAUGCGCAGAUAUCAAGGAGGAACACCGGUGGCGAAGGCGGGAUCUCUGGGC